UGGAUGAUACCGACGUGAAGACUAAAAUAGAUGACAUCGCUGAACUGGACAUUGCAGAGGAUUUUGAUAACCGGCCUUCCAAAAAGGCAAAAAUUUCUGAAUCACGUGUACUGGAACCAUCACCUAUGUCACCAACUAUGAAAACAUCUUCUCCAGGUUCAGAGUGUUUUGAAUCGUUUGUGCCGGAAUCAGAUAAUUAGAUGAAUCAUGAUACACUACCAUCACCUCCAUCCCCAUCUAGCUCGACAAUAUCUCCUGUUUUCCCAUUGCAUGAUAUUAAGGAACCAAAUUCACAUAAAGAGAUCAAAGUUGAUGAGACAUAUGAUUAUCUCCCACAAGACUAUACAUUGACCGACCAUGAUCUAUGUGCUCAUAUAGCAAUAGAAUCAUCUUUGAGAAAACAAUUGC